rnacentral:lncRNA from 1 species
UUGGGACCCAAAGUGGGGUUGGGCUAGGGGCGUGAUGAGUUGAUGGCAUGGAUAAGGAUUAGAAAUUCUAAUGGAACUAGACUCUAAAGGAAUGUGGGAUAUGGAAUACGGUGUGACAGAAAAAAUACUAAGAUGGCGUGAGAAAAAGAGAGGAGUCCUCUUACUAGGACUCUUAAUUAAGGAAAGAAUAUAGCAUGAGAAAUAGAUUGUGACGUGAGAAAAGAUAGUUACAGAUUAGGAUGAAAGAGUCUCACCUUCACUCCAAUCCAAGGGUUGGCAUGAAGAAGGAGGAGUCUCACCUUCACCAACUUCUGCCAAAGGCUUGGUAUCUCACCAAGAAAAGGAGAUGGAGCAUCGCACUCCAAGGAGAAAGAGAAUUAUUCUCAAUUCUUCUAAACUCCAAUCAAUUAUAUUCUAAAUUUUAUUCUUCAACCUUAUCUUUAUGUAGAGUAAAAGGUUGGCAAAAUAAGAACUCUUACAACCAAAAAUUUGGAUAGCAAGGACUACUACUUAAUAUAUACUCUUUUAAAUUAAAUCAAAUAUUUG